UAUACAAAUUUAAUUUAUUACAGGCUAUAUGCUUUUGAUCUGGUUGGCAUUGGCAAUCUACAGUAUCACGUCACAAUUUCUCAUUCUUUGGUUCAAGUUAACCUAACUCCUGCUAUUUCUACAUUUAAAGGUAUCUAUCAGCUAGGGCAUAUUAAAAAUCAAAUUUGGUGACAUGAGGUGACACUCCAAUAUUAAAUUUAUUUAGGCAGAGCUUUUGGACAUGUAGAUUGGUUCCUCCAGCUGAAUUUGUUAGUGGCUUCCAGUGGAGUCUUGCGCCUUCAAUUCGUCAAGUAUGCUACUCUCUAUACACGUAUCAUGUAGCUACUUAGAUCUUAUACGACGAUUCCAUUCUUAUGAGAAUGUCACGAGAAUCCGGCUUCUAUCAAUCAUUUGAUAACGUUUCUAUUCGUAUCUUAGAAUGUUUUGAUACAAUGUCUAUCAGAGAGUUUCAAACUAUCAACUCGAUUGUUUUAAUGAAGUUAGCUCUGCAUUCAAACGCUGACUUCAUUUUCUAAUUAAUAACUAACAGAUAGUUUGAUUGAAGCUUAUUUUAUGGUAUAUUUAAGCAUUGUGAAUAAUAUUCAUCAAGCAAUAAUUAUUGAGAAUGAGUGAAAAAUUCAUCUAAUUUUAGAAAUGUGUUAUAGGACACAAAUUCAACUCGUAACAAAUUCUUCGAAGACAGAGGUGAAAAUAAUAUUAUUAAUACUGUACUAUGAAAAAAUGUAUGUGAUUUUUCUUCGAACAAAAUUAACUUUUGAAACUUUGAAUACGUUUUUCUACAAAUCUAAUAACUUAUUCAUCUCAUUUUGCCUGAAAACUAAAAAAAUGGUCAUCAAUUUUGUUAAAUGUUGCACAAGUUAAGGUCAACUAUUUUGAAACUUAUUCAGUAUAGUGCUAAUCCUAAAUCGAAAAAUCAACUAGUAAUUCCUGCGUUUUUCAGCUCGCAUGGAAUUACAUUCCAGAAGAGGUCUUCGUCUAUCAUAAUUUACAGAUUCGAUGAAGUUCAGUUAAGUUGGAUUAGGGUUGAGUGUGGGGGGUGUAUCAAUAUAGCACACUCCACCUUAAACGACUAUUCGGCAGAGUAUAGCGUGUGCCAACUCAUCAAACAGCCGCAUGGAGUUGAUUACAUCUAAUCCCUUAUCCCUUGUCUUCAAACCACCUGAAUUUUCUACCAUUCUUUCAUCCUCAGCUUUGUAUCUUAAUAUCAAAAUUUAUACUCACAUGAUAACUGAAGAGAAGAAAAACUUGAAAGAUAUAUGGAUUCAAGAAGUGUAAAAAUAGCAAAAAUCCCUAUUAGAUCAAUAAUGAGAUAGAUUUCGGAGAUUAGAUUCAAAUGAUUUUUUUCGCACUACAGCCGAAUAUGAGCUUUGGCCGCCUCUAUUACAGCUCUCUACUCGUCUUGGCCCUCUGUCAUUCGUUUCCAUCCUCUACAUCCCAUUUUUGGUGAUUGUCUCUUCCUUCUUCGUCCCACCUUAUUCUUGGUCUUCAUCUCUUUCUUCUUGAAUGUAUCCUCUCCUUAAAUAUUAUUCUAGACAUUCUGUUCUCAUUCAUACUACAGAUAUGUCCAAGCCGUUACUUCUUUAUAAAUUUUACAAUAUUUCGGCCUUUUUUCGGCGUUGACCUCUAAAUUGGUUCUUCUUCAACACUCCUCUCCUUCUUUAACAGGACCAUGAAUCUUUCUCAGAAUUUUCCUUUCAAAAACGCCUAAAUUAUUCUUGUCUUCUUUUGUUAACGUCCAAGAUUCACAGCCGUACGUUACAACAGGUCGAAUCAGGCUUUCAUAUAUUUUUAGUUUUUUAUUUCUACAUAUAUGAGCCUGUUCUUCAGAAGUUCCAAGUUACUGAAGUAUGCUCUAUUUCUAGCCAAUACUCUUUGCUUUAUGCUGUAACUCAUCUUGUUUUCGUUAUUUAAUUAAACCCCCAAGUAACUGAAGUUCCUUACACCUUGAAAGAUUUUCUGACCAAUUCUGAGAUUUUGUGGAACUCUUCUUGCGUGACUGCUUGAUUUCUUCAUUUACCUCGAUUUACUAUCAUUUACUAUCAACUCAAUA